AUGCAUUGAUUGGGUUGGAAUGCAAGGCAAGUAAUUCCCAUGACUGUUCUCUGGCCUAUAGAUGAUGAUUGGUACAAGGGUUCCAUCACGGAGUACAAUUCAGACACCAAGCAUCAUAGAAAAUGAAGGAUUUAUGUUGGAAAUGUGGUGUCCCCAACUUAGAGAAGAAAGGCCUCAAUUACAAUGAAUUGCUGGCUUUAUCACUUAACUUUCAUGAUUGUCAAGGUCUUGAACUAGGUGAACUUGUAUGGGCAAAACUUAUAGAUUGAAAUACCAACAGUUGGGACUACUAUCAUGAAUAUCAUAAUUUUGUAUUUGUCUUUUCCUCUUUGCAUCCGAAGUGCAAGAAGGCAAGAUUUUGUCGAAGCUUGGAUGAAGCAAAAAUGUAUGUGCUUUCUUUGAUAUGUGAUUUUCCAUUCUUUCCUUUCAAAGUUAAAAAAAUCAUACAGCCAAUUGCCUGUUGCAUCUAGUUUCAGCACUCUCUAAGUUGCUAUGUUUCUUUGAACUUCAUAUAAUCCGGCCAUUGUUUUGUUGCCAUGUUUUUUCUUUCAUGUA